AAAAUGCAGCAAUGAAAGGGUAGCUCCUAGUUUCUCUGUUCGACAUUCAGCUACAACCAUGUUGACAUGGACGUUGGUGGUUCUGUUCCUAGGCCUACUCUACUGGCUAUCCAGGAAACCAAGCAGUCUUCCACCAGGACGGUGGGGUCUCCCAAUAAUUGGAUACAUCCCUCUCUAUACCACUAAUGUCGGAAAUCUUAUCAGUGAUCUGAGGAAAAAAUAUGGAGACAUAUUUACCUGGAAGGUUGGCAGCCAAGUGAUGGUCGGCCUCUGCGACUAUGAGCUCAUCAAGACCACCUUCAAACAGGCCUGAAUGUCAGGGAAGGCCUUACUUGUUUUCUUUUGAAUUGAUAAGAUCACACAAAAACUCAGGAAUUGUGAAUGCAGUCGGUGACGUCUGGGUACAGGGCAGGAGGUUUGCCAUUAGACACCUGAAGGAUUUUGGCAUGGGAAAGUCUUCCCUUGAGGGCUUCCAUCCAGUAUGAGGCUCAGAACCUUGUAGAGACUUUUGAGAGGACAUCUGGGAAACCCAUAGAAAUAUCUUGGUGUCUCAAUGUUGCUGUGUUGAACGUCAUCUGGA